CCUACGGGGGGCUGCAGUGGGGAAUAUUGCACAAUGGGGGAAACCCUGAUGCAGCAACGCCGCGUGAGCGAUGAAGGCCUUCGGGUCGUAAAGCUCUGUCCUAAGGGAAGAAUACUGACGGUACCUUAGGAGGAAGCCCCGGCUAACUACGUGCCAGCAGCCGCGGUAAUACGUAGGGGGCUAGCGUUAUCCGGAAUUACUGGGCGUAAAGGGUGCGUAGGCGGCCCUUCAAGUCAGAGGGGAAAGGCUACGGCUCAACCGUAGUAAGCCUUUGAAACUGUAGGGCUUGAGUGCAGGAGAGGGGAGUGGAUUUCCCGGGGAGGCGGUAAAAUGCGUAGAUAUGGGAGGGAAACCCAGUGGGGAAGGCGGCUCUCUGAAUUGUAACUGAGGCUGGGGCACGAAGGCGGGGGAGCGAACAGGAUUAGAUACCCCGGUAGUC
rnacentral:rRNA from 1 species